UCCAUCCUCGAUCAGUGUGUUGGUGACGGGAACUCUUCGCCUGAACCCGCUGCCCCCGUAUCUCCCGGGUCUCGGUUCGAUACCCGCCCUCAGCACUUCCAUGUUAUGUGUCUGUGUUAUACCGGCGGGGAAUCCUUAUAUUAACAAGCCCCGUACCCGCCCACGUAAAUGUUGGUCUCGGUUCGAAUCCCGCCCUCACCUACAAGACCCGUCCUUAGCAAGCCCCGUACCCGCCCACGUAAAUCUUGGACUCGGUUCGAAUCCCGCCCUCACCUACAAACCCCGUCCUUAGCAAGCCCCGUACCCGCCCACGUAAAUCUUGGACUCGGUUCGAAUCCCGCCCUCACCUACAAACCCCGUCCUUAGCAAGCCCCGUACCCGCCCACGUAAAUCUUGGACUCGGUUCGAAUCCCGCCCUCACCUACAAGUCCCGUCCUUAACAAAAACCGUAGAGGAGAGCGGUGAUGAUUCGGCCAUCGCACUUAUUGUAAAGUGUAUGGGAGUCAGUGCCGCGAGAUUUUGUCUGAAUGUGCAAAACUUUAUUGCCUUGACCCACAAAGGGACAACCACGCCCUCAGAGCUGUUGUUUUCGAUGCAACUCCGAUUUUAUGUUUUUUUGCAUCUCUUAUGUAAUAUUUUCAGUGUAUCGUAAGCUCUCACUUCAAAAACGUGCCAAUUAGCGACAUGUAAAUUAUUUCGGUGACGCAGCGAUGCCCGGCGAAGGUGUUGCCGCAUAACACGAUCACCUGUGAAGCUCUCGUGCUGGAAAAGUGUGUGACCACACAUUUGCUUUUUAUUGAGUCGUGAUGAUUCGGACGGUUGAUUUUUUCAUGAUUUUUAUUAAAUUUAUAUCAAUUUAAACAUUAUAGGUGUUGCAACGUUUAUAAAAAGGUUAGUUUGGUUGAUUAAUAUUCAGAUAUGCUUGUGAGAAGAGAAGGAAGCCAUAAUACCAAAAUUUUUGAGAUUUCUUGUAGUUCUCCUUUUAUUUUUUCCCCUCUAAAUAUUGAGAGGAUACUUUAGUCCUCUAACAAAUGUUUUGUAGAAGAUAUAAUUUUGUUUAUUAGCCAAUCAAACUUAAGUUAUAUUAAUAUUAUGGCGAGUAUUAUGAGUGUCCGUACCAUCCCACCUCCCUGGCCGAACCAUCACCACGGCUGGGGGCGAUUUAGAAACUUAGUCUUUCAUCACCUACAUCUGAAAACUGGAAAUAGCUACGAGUGUCAUAUUAGCGGCCUACAGAGCCAAAUGAUGGAGGAACAUUUUGAGGUCAACAAAAUUACACUACUUUUUAAACUUCUUUUUCUAAAAAUAUUUUUCUAAAAAGUGUCCGAAUCAUACCGGCUCUCCCCUACCCGCCCACGUUAUCACAAGUGUCCUCGCCUCCACCUCAACGGUACCAGCGUGUCAUAUAUCAAAGGAAGGGGCUUGUGAGACUUCAGCGACCUCCGGCAGCACUUCGAGGUCAACAUUAGGACCUCGGAGCUCAUAAGAGCUGUCGUGAUGAAGGCCUGACUCGUGGGGGAGCGCCUGUGUCCUGCCUCCCCCCACACCCAGGAGCUGCCGUGAUGAAGGCCUGACCCGUGGGGGAGCGCCUGUGUCCUGCCUCCCCCCACACCCAGGAGCUGCCGUGACGAAGACCUGACUCGUGGGGGAGCGCCUGUGUCCUGCCUCCCCCCACACCCAGGAGUGGAGGCCUGACACACUGGGCGACCGCACUGAUAACAAUCUCAAAGCUGGAGACUGGGAUGCCGGGCCAGGAGGGGGAGACAACAAAGCUAGAUAGGUUAAUUUAGGUCAAGAAAUGCUGUAUAAAGGACAUGAGGAGUCACUAUAAUAGCAGCAAUGAUACUGUACUUGGUUCAGUGUGUUAGUGAGGAUAGAUUAUCUUUGGUAGAGCGGGGCACCACCUCAGUGUAAUAUAUCAAGUUAUUUAUAUUACAGCAACACUUACAAUUUAACUCAUCCCUUUCCCUUCAAGCAAUAGUUCUAACACCUUUAAUUUAAUGAUUGAAUGUUUCCUUCCUUCACUUUUCAUUUCCUUGUUUUCUCUUUGACCCAUUUUCUCUGAUUCUUCGUUUUCUUCAGUUUUCUCUCUCAUCCAUUCUCUCUCCUCCUCCUCCUCCUCCUCCUCUGUCCAUCUUUAUUCCGUCCUUUCAUUUAAUGUCUAAGCUAUCUUUUGCUUGAUGUUCUUUCUGGUGGUCAAAUCUUGCAUCUCAUUUCCUAUCGUCCAUUCUCUCUCCUCCUCCUCCUCCUCCUCCUCAUAAUACAGUUCCUUCUAUUCUCCUUUCUCCUUUAUUCUUUUUUAACUUUUCCUCCCCUUUUCUAUUCCUUUUCCCCAACUUUCCUCCUCUUUCCUCUUCUAUUCUUCCUUCAUCUCCUUCUCCUUUUUCUCCUUUCACUUCUCCUCCUCCUCCUCUUCCUCUGUCUGUUUAUCUUCAUCCCUUCCUUCCUUUUAAUUAAUGUCUAAGUUAUCUUUUUGCUUGAGGUUCCUUCUAGUGUGUUUGUGGUGCCCGGCUCUGGUCACUAGUUAGUUUUGUCACUGUAUAAUUGUCAGUCCUAGUUUGUUUUGUCACUGUAUAAUUGUCAGUCCCAGCCAGGCGCCUCUUCCAUGUAAAGAUAUCGGCAGCUUCAAGUCUUGCCGAUAUCUCAAUCAUCUUGAUGAAUGUAAAUUAACCGAAAUCCUUGUUACUAAGCCCUGCAUGGUGCUCUCUCACAUAAUGCUUCUUUAAAUUUUCAGUCUCACUUAACUUCCGGGGUUAGUACUAUAUUUUGCCAUGAGUUAACUCCCCGUGAUGGCCAGUUUCAUGUACUAUAUAUAAGUAAUUUGCCUUUUGCAUGGCUAUAAUUCUGCAUCCGUGUCUAAGGCCCAGUUUCACAGUUCCUCAUGAUGGGUUAGUAAGCUCCGAAACCAAUACCAGAGCCUUCGAAAUUUCCUUGUACGGUGUCUGGAGUUUAUAUUCAAGUUCACAAAUUUGACGAGACUAUACAGGAAAGGUCUUAUAUUGUCAUGAUACGAAGGAAAGGGAAGAGAAGGGAGAUGAGAUUGGGAGACGAAUGAGCUGAGAUCCUGUUUAUAUUCAAGUUCACAAAUUUGACAAGACUAUACAGGAAAAGCUGUGUUUAUGAUAUGAAGGAAAGGGAAGAGAAGGGAGAUGAGUAAGCUGAGAUCCUGUUUAUAUUCAAGUCCACAAAUUUGACGACACAAUACAGGAAAAGCUCAUUGUAUUUAGUGUGUCAUCAAAGACCGCGCCAUUUUGAACAGUAUGGGAUUCUAUAGCUUGGUUCGGGAGUGUUACAAAGACCAUGAUGGACUGUGGAAAUGGCCCUUAAUGUUCCCUUUUCUAAUAUGCCUCUCUGUUUUUGCAGGAUGCCGCGGACGGACCAUGCAGAGGACUCAUCGCGACGACACCAACGGUUUGGUUAAGUGGGUUCUCUUGUGUGUGCGUCUGUGUGUGAAUGGCAGGCCUGUCGUAUGAUUGUGUGUGUGCGCGCGCUGGGCGUUAUGCCUUCGCGCUAUUAUUUUGUUAGGAUGUAUUUUUUUGUGUGUGAACUUUUUGCACGUAAUCUUUUUUUAUACCCAUAGCUAGCGUUUGUUUGUGUGUUGCUGUGUUCCGGGAGAUGGGCGCCGGGGGACAUGGGCUGGGGGGGGCGCACGUGACCUCCUCUGUCCGUGACCUCUUCAGCUGGGGAGACCGCGUGUUGCCCCGGCUGGAGAGACACGUUGAUGGAGGCGGCUGCGUGUGUCGUCCCUUGCCUGUAUCCUCUGGCGUCCAGAGGCGCGUAAGUGGAGAGCAUCGGCGCAGCGCGGGAGCAGCACGUCAGGGUGUAGGGUGUCUUUUUAGCUGGUGUAGGGAGCUUAGGGUGUUAGGGUGUUAGGUGUAACAACGGUUGGCUCUUUCACAGAACGGGUGUGAUUCCGUUCUGCGUUUGAGUCUUCCACCUUCAGACGGUCUCCCUCCGAGAUGUCUGAAGUUUUUUUUGUCGGUUUUCUCCGUAGGAGGAAGCCGGCUCUAGCUACUCUGGCCUC